rnacentral:rRNA from 1 species
AGAGUUUGAUCAUGGCUCAGGACGAACGCUGGCGGCGCGCUUAACACAUGCAAGUCGAGCGAGAACCAGGCCUUCGGGCCUGGGGACAGCGGCGAACGGGUGAGUAACACGUGAGUAAUCCACCCUUGGCACCGGAAUAGCCCGGGGAAACCCGGAUUAAUGCCGGAUGGCCCGACAGCCUUUCGGGGCGGUCGGAAAAGGUAGCUUCGGCCUCCGGCCAAGGACGAGCUCGCGGCGGAUUAGCUUGUUGGCGGGGUAACGGCCCACCAAGGCGACGAUCCGUAGCUGGUCUGAGAGGACGACCAGCCACACUGGGACUGAGACACGGCCCAGACUCCUACGGGAGGCAGCAGUGGGGAAUCUUGGACAAUGGAGGAAACUCUGAUCCAGCCAUGCCGCGUGAGUGAUGAAGGCCUUCGGGUUGUAAAACUCUUUCGACGGGGACGAUAAUGACGGUACCCGUAGAAGAAGCUCCGGCUAACUUCGUGCCAGCAGCCGCGGUAAUAC